GAUGAACGCUGGCGGCGUGCCUAAUACAUGCAAGUCGAGCGAACGGACGAGAAGCUUGCUUCUCUGAUGUUAGCGGCGGACGGGUUAGUAACACGUGGAUAACCUACCUAUAAUACUGGGAUAACUUCGGGAAACCGGAGCUAAUACCGGAUCAUAUUUUGAACCGCAUGGUUCAAAAGUGAAAGACGGUCUUGCUGUCACUUAUAGAUGGAUCCGCGCUGCAUUAGCUAGUUGGUAAGGUAACGGCUUACCAAGGCAACGAUGCAUAGCCGACCUGAGAGGGGGAUCGGCCAAACUGGAAAUGAGACACGGUCCAGACUCCUACGGGAGGCAGCAGUAGGGAAUCUUCAGCAAUGGGCGAAAGCCUGACGGAGCAACGCCGCGUGAGUGAUGAAGGUCUUCGGAUCGUAAAACUCUGUUAUUAGGGAAGAAAAUAUGUGUAAGUAACUGUGCACAUCUUGACGGUACAUAAUCAGAAAGCCAAGGAUAACUACGUG
rnacentral:rRNA from 1 species